ensembl:miRNA Mir6958 microRNA 6958
GUGGGAGAAGAGGCUGCUGUGGGUGCCCCCAAGUCCACUAGCUCAGCUCCUCAGCUGCCUCUUGCCAUCACAG